GUGGCUUCUGGAAGUUAGAUUUUGAAAUGAGCUCAAGUUGUAAUCAGGGUAGCUCUGGCUAAUAACCACUCCCUGCUGCUCACCGGGAGGCAGAUAUAAUUUGUGGUUUGAGCACUUGUAACUGCAACGCUGAGAUCAAUCCCGGAAAGGAGCCAGCGAUUCCCUCCUAGAACUGCACAGGACAUCUCUGGGCAGAACACAACCAAAGCUUGAGGACAAGAACACACUCACCUGGAAGAAUGGGACAAUGCUUGGGAGAACGAAUAGAAUGAAACAACUUAAUAGUCCGGAUGUUUGAACUGGUACUAAGAACUUUUCAAAGUGCUGCCACAUACUUCAUUACACUUGUGGAUCGUAGGAUGAUUCAAAGGAUGAGGAAGAGACACCAGGGAGGUGCGCCCAUGGAGAUGACCCUGGGAAGAGGCAGAAAGAGGGCCACCAUCUGCAGACCCAGGAGAGCCGCCUCAGAAGAACCCAACCCUACCAGGAUCUCGAUUUUGUACCACUAGCCUCCAGAACUGUAAGAAAAUAAAAUUCUACUGUGUCAGCC
rnacentral:lncRNA from 13 species